GUUUAUAUAGUUUAAUAAAAACAUUUUAUUUUCAUUAAAAAAAAGAAUUAAUUUAUUCUAUAAAUU
rnacentral:tRNA from 1 species